rnacentral:rRNA from 1 species
GUGGGGGAUAUUGCACAAUGGGCGAAAGCCUGAUGCAGCGACGCCGCGUGAGGGAAGAAGGUCUUCGGAUUGUAAACCUUUGUCCUAUGGGAAGAUAAUGACGGUACCAUGGGAGGAAGCCACGGCUAACUACGUGCCAGCAGCCGCGGUAAUACGUAGGUGGCAAGCGUUGUCCGGAUUUACUGGGUGUAAAGGGUGCGUAGGCGGGGCAGCAAGUUGGAUGUGAAAUCCUCGGGCUCAACUCGAGAACUGCAUUCAAAACUGUUGCUCUUGAGUGCAGUAGAGGCAAGCGGAAUUCCCGGUGUAGCGGUGAAAUGCGCAGAGAUCGGGAGGAACACCAGUGGCGAAGGCGGCUUGCUGGGCUGAAACUGACGCUGAGGCACGAAAGCAUGGGUAGCAAACAGGAUUAGAAACCCUAGUAGUCC